AUCACAUAUUUCCUAUAAUUUGCAAUAAAACAUAAAUAACGUAUAUAUUUUUGCUGUGUUUUUGUAUUUCACUAUCGAUUGGACAAUCAUAAUCAACACGGCAUUUCAAUAAACCAAAGGUUCAAACCAAUUAUGUGUGGUAUAUUAUCAUGGAACCAUGUCUUUAUUAGAUACCUGACACAGACACAACAUCCAAAUGUGCGAUCCUUCCUUUUCAGAUAUGAUGAGCAUAGAAAUUCCAUCUGCAUAUGUUGUGUCAAUUGCAAGUUGUAACUGUACUUUCCUCACUCAUAUGCCACAGGUUCAAUACAAAAAAUAUUCCUUUGUCAUACAGUGAUGUUGUCUUCUGUUGCUGAUAAUAUUUAUAAUCUUUUUUAAGAUGGCUACUAUCAAAUGAUAAUGACUAGCUUUCAUUCUCCUUACAAAAAUUAAUUAAUUUUUGUAUUGAAGUCCUUGUGAAUAUUACAUAAAUAAAUAAGAUAGUGUUAGAUAAAUAAGAUUCAAUAGAAUGAUCUUGAAUAAGAAUCUUAACAAGGUCGUUGUAGUAUAGUGGUAAGUAUUCCCGCCUGUCACGCGGGUGACCCGGGUUCAAUCCCCGGCAGCGGCGUCUUUUUUCUUUCUCCGAUGCGGUACAUUUUCUUUAAUGGGGUGUUAGGGUAGUGAUUGUGGAUUUGGGUCUUUGCCCUGAUCUGCUUCAAAUUUUACGCAAAUCAUGACUUUCCAAAAAUUUCAGUUUAAAGCGAUCAUUCUCGAUAAAACUAGCACUAAACUGUGUUACUCAGCAACAAGGCGCAGCAUAUUUUUUAUUUUAUUUUUACUAAAGAUGCAGCAUAAUUUUAUUUUCUCUGAAGAUAAGGUUAGGUGCAGUGCGUAAUUCCCCUCCAAUGAAUUAUGUUAAUUGUUUUUUAUUAUUUAUUCGAAUUACUUUGAUUAACUUAAUGGAACCUAACUUUGUCCCUGCAGCAUAUCUUCUUAUGUGUGAUUUAGCUUGGAUUGGUUUUUCAUCUGACUAGUUUCUUUCUCGAUCCAAAGCCUCCAGUGCUCUGAAUACUGCCGGAUUUCUUGACAGUAGAGAAUCCGGGUCCACUUUUGACGCAGUCGAGCAUUAUGGAGCGUUCAAUCAAGAUUAGACCGCCCAAAUUUCAAUCAGACAUUUUAACUAUACGAUGAUGUACCAGAGUUGUAUAUCAUGAGCGUACAAACUCCAUCUGCAUAAGCUGUGUCAAUUGCAAGUUGCAACUGCACUUUCCUCAGUCCUAUGGCUAUGGCCCAGGUUCAACAUUUCUCAUAACUAGCCACGGUUCACUAGAAUCUAGAUAUAUAACUUCUUUUGUUAAUCAAUACAAAAAAUAUUCCUUUCUCAUACAGUGAUGUUGUCCUCUGUUGCUGAUAAUGUUUAUAAUCUCAACAAAUUGAAUAUCUUUGUUUCUUGAGAUGGCUAUUAUCAAAUAAUAAUGAGUAGCUUUCAUUCUCCUUA